UUAAUCAAGAACGAAAGUCAGAGGUUCGAAGGCGAUCAGAUACCGCCCUAGUUCUGACCGUAAACGAUGCCAAUUAGCGAUCCGCCGAAGGAGAUUCAUGUGCCUUGGUGGGGAGCUUCCCGGAAGCGAAAAUUUUUCGGCUCUGGGGGAAGUAUGGUUGCAAAGCUGAAACUUAAAGGAAUUGACGGAAGGGCACCACCAGGAGUGGAGCCUGCGGCUUAAUUUGACUCAACACGGGGAAACUCACCCGGCCCGGACACUGUGAGGAUUGACAGAUUGAUAGCUUUUUCAUGAUUCAGUGGAUGGUGGUGCAUGGCCGUUCUUAGUUCGUGGAGUGAUUUGUCUGGUUUAUUCCGAUAACGAGCGAGACUCUCGCCUACUAAAUAGCCGGCGUGUUCUCACGUGCGUGUACGGCUUCUUAGAGGGAUCUACGGUGUUCAGCCGCAAGAAAUUGAGCAAUAACAGGUCUGUGAUGCCCUUAGAUGUCCGGGGCUGCACGCGCGCUACACUGGCAAAAUCAGCGUGCCUGUCCUGCCCCGAAAGGGGGUGGUAAACCAUUGAAAAUUUGCCGUGAUUGGGAUCGGAAAUUGCAAUUAUUUUCCGUGAACGAGGAAUUCCAAGUAAGUGCGAGUCAUCAGCUCGCGUUGAUUACGUCCCUGCCCUUUGUACACACCGCCCGUCGCUGCCCGGGACUGAGCCAUUUCGAGAAACUUGGGGACUGUCGAUCUGCUGGUGCUUGCGCCAGCUCCUCGGUGGAAACCAAUUUAAUCGCAGUGGCUUGAACCGGGCAAAAGUCGUA
rnacentral:rRNA from 1 species